GGCGCUGUGGCUUAGUUGGUUAAAGCACCUGUCUAGUAAAUAGGAGACCCUGAGUUCGACCCUCAGCAGUGCCU